rnacentral:rRNA from 1 species
CUACGGGAUGCAGCAGUGGGGAAUAUUGGACAAUGGGCGAAACCCUGACGCAGCAACGCCGCGUGAGUGAUGAAGGCCUUCGGGUCGUAAAGCUCUGUCAAGUGGGAAGAACCUGAUCCAUACUAAUAUCGUGGAUCACUGACGGUACCACUGAAGGAAGCACCGGCUAACUCCGUGCCAGCAGCCGCGGUAAUACGGAGGGUGCAAGCGUUAUUCGGAAUCACUGGGCGUAAAGGGCGCGCAGGCGGUUUGGUAAGUCAGAUGUGAAAGCCCGGGGCUCAACCCCGGAAGUGCAUUUGAUACUGCCAAACUCGAGUAUGGGAGAGGGAAGUGGAAUUCCUGGUGUAGAGGUGAAAUUCGUAGAUAUCAGGAGGAACACCGGUGGCGAAGGCGACUUCCUGGACCAAUACUGACGCUGAGGCGCGAAGGCGUGGGGAGCAAACAGGAUUAGAUACCCCAGUAGUC